rnacentral:rRNA from 1 species
GAAUCUUGGACAAUGGGGGAAACCCUGAUCCAGCCAUGCCGCGUGAGUGAUGAAGGCCCUAGGGUUGUAAAACUCUUUCGCGCGCGACGAUAAUGACGGUAACCGUAGAAGAAGCCCCGGCUAACUUCGUGCCAGCAGCCGCGGUAAUACGAAGGGGGCUAGCGUUGUUCGGAAUUACUGGGCGUAAAGCGCGCGUAGGCGGAUCGUUAAGUGAGGGGUGAAAUCCCAGGGCUCAACCCUGGAACUGCCUUUCAUACUGGCGAUCUUGAGUUCGAGAGAGGUGAGUGGAAUUCCGAGUGUAGAGGUGAAAUUCGUAGAUAUUCGGAGGAACACCAGUGGCGAAGGCGGCUCACUGGCUCGAUACUGACGCUGAGGUGCGAAAGCGUGGGGAGCAAACAGG